rnacentral:rRNA from 1 species
GCUAACGUCCGUCGUGAAGAGGGAAACAACCCAGACCGCCAGCUAAGGUCCCAAAGUCAUGGUUAAGUGGGAAACGAUGUGGGAAGGCACAGACAGCCAGGAUGUUGGCUUAGAAGCAGCCAUCAUUUAAAGAAAGCGUAAUAGCUCACUGGUCGAGUCGGCCUGCGCGGAAGAUGUAACGGGGCUAAACCAUGCACCGAAGCUGCGGCAGCGAC